rnacentral:rRNA from 1 species
AUUGAACGCUGGCGGCAGGCCUAACACAUGCAAGUCGAGCGGAUGAAGGGAGCUUGCUCCUGGAUUCAGCGGCGGACGGGUGAGUAAUGCCUAGGAAUCUGCCUGGUAGUGGGGGAUAACGUCCGGAAACGGGCGCUAAUACCGCAUACGUCCUGAGGGAGAAAGUGGGGGAUCUUCGGACCUCACGCUAUCAGAUGAGCCUAGGUCGGAUUAGCUAGUUGGUGGGGUAAAGGCCUACCAAGGCGACGAUCCGUAACUGGUCUGAGAGGAUGAUCAGUCACACUGGAACUGAGACACGGUCCAGACUCCUACGGGAGGCAGCAGUGGGGAAUAUUGGACAAUGGGCGAAAGCCUGAUCCAGCCAUGCCGCGUGUGAAGAAGGUCUUCGGAUUGUAAAGCACUUUAAGUUGGGAGGAAGGGCAGUAAGUUAAUACCUUGCUGCUUUGACGUUACCAACAGAAUAAGCACCGGCUAACUUCGUG